GGACUGUAUAUAUACACACUUCCUGGGGACGUGGCCAAUCUGGGCCGGAACUUCCCAAGUGGAGGCUGAGAGCACACGCGCCUGACUGAGGUCUUGGGGUUGCCUGGGGGCUCAGAAGGAAGGCAAGGGGCAUCUAUUUUCCCAGCCCAGCACUGCUCCAGAGGUCCUGCAGAGGAAGUAACAACCGGCCGGGCUGUCCUAGCAGCGCCAAGGAAAGAAACAGAAGAGAGUGAGCGGGAGAGAAACAGCAUGAGAGGGGAGAGGGUCAGAGGGAGAAGCAGGCUCCCCGCCGAGCCGGGAGCCCGAUGUGGGACUCGAUCCCAGGACCCCGGGAUCAUGACCUGAGCUGAAGGCAGUCGCUUAACCAACUGAGCCACCCAGGCGCCCGAGGAAUUCUUAAUCUUAGGAAACAAACUUAGGGUUGCUGGAGUGGUGGGGGUGGGAGGGAUGGGGUGACUGGGUGAUAGACAUUGGGGAGGGUAUGUGCUAUGGUGAGCGCUGUGAAUUGUGUAAGACUGUUGAAUCACAGACCUGUACCUCUGAAACAAAUAAUACAUUAUAUGUUAAAAGAAAAAGAAGAAGAAGAAGAAGAAGAAGAAGAUAGCGGGAAGGGAAAAAUGAAGGGGGGGAAUCAGAGGGGGAGAUGAACCAUGAGAGACUAUGGACACUGAGAAACAAACAGGGUUCUAGAGGGGAGGGGGAGGGGGAUGGGUUAGCGCGGUGAUGGAUAUUAAAGAGGGCAUGUUCUGCAUGGAGCACUGGGUGUUAUACGCAAACAAUGAAUCAUGGGACACUACAUCAAAAACUAAUGAUGUAAUGUAUGGUGAUUAACAUAACAUAAUAAAAUUAAAAAAAAAAAUUAGAAAAAAA